CAGGUCUGUGAUGCCCUUAGAUGUCCUGGGCCGCACGCGUGCUACACUGACACAUACAGCGAGUAUCUCCAGCCCCGCGAGGUGGCUGGUAAUCAGCAAUAUGUGUCGUGAUGGGGAUAGAUCUUUGGAAUUAUUGAUCUUGAAUGAGGAAUGCCUAGUAAGCGCAAGUCAUCAGCUUGCGUUGAUUACGUCCCUGCCCUUUGUACACACCGCCCGU
rnacentral:rRNA from 1 species